rnacentral:rRNA from 1 species
AGCGAACGCUGGCGGCAGGCCUAAUACAUGCAAGUCGAGCGCACCUUCGGGUGAGCGGCGGACGGGUGAGCAACGCGUGGGAACGUGCCCUUUGGUACGGGAUAACUGAGGGAAACUUCAGCUAAUACCGUAUGUGCCCUACGGGGGAAAGAUUUAUCGCCAUUGGAGCGGCCCGCGUUGGAUUAGGUAGUUGGUGAGGUAAAGGCUCACCAAGCCUACGAUCCAUAGCUGGUCUGAGAGGAUGAUCAGCCACACUGGGACUGAGACACGGCCCAGACUCCUACGGGAGGCAGCAGUAGGGAAUCUUGCGCAAUGGGCGAAAGCCUGACGCAGCCAUGCCGCGUGUAUGAUGAAGGUCUUAGGAUUGUAAAAUACUUUCACCGGGGAAGAUAAUGACGGUACCCGGAGAAGAAGCCCCGGCUAACUUCGUGCCAGCCGCCGCAGUAACAC